GAUCGACUACGACUAGGGGAAGAGUUUUAGCUUUUGGAAGUUGUAAAGGUAAUUAGACCGAGUUUGUAUUUGCUGCAUUAAUGCUAACGAUAGAUAGUGCUUGCAUCAAUUGCACAUAGAAUAUGUUAAUGUUGUAUAUAUUUGAAUGUGUAUGCGGUAGAUUAAGGUUAACAUUUCUAUAGCGCAAGUUUACGAAGCUGGUUAACUCGGGCCACUGACCAACUCGGCCCAUACCAUCUUGGCCCAAUUGUUAACUACUGUUUGACAUAUUGGGAAAGCUAAUAUUUUACAAAAGAUAGCACCAAACCAAUACAGCCAUUUGCAGUUGCAUUGGGCGUACAGAUGAGUAAAGUUUGAGAACAUCCAGUUUGACUUAAUUUAAUUAAAGAAUCUAUCGAAGUUUCAAAUUCUCGAUCUGUCCGUUUUGAUACUAAAUUACUGAUCAUUCAAAUUUCUCUCAAAAUUCGCAAAGAUAGAACGCAGUCAUGGCUCCUAGCUUGUUUAAUGGUUAGAUUAGUCAGUUUAUGAGCGGGCGGAGUUGGUCCUUGAACGGUGGGCCGAGUUGGUUAGUGGGCCGAGUUGACUGUCGGCGGAGCGUUGACAGACGGCCACCGAUGCCCCGCUGUCCAGAUAACAACAUAAUAAAUGUCUAGAUGACAACGUCAUUCUGCAGUUCAUGCAAAAUUAAACCGAUAAGUUUAAAUGAAAUUUACUUUUUCUCAUAGAUAGCGCUGAGUAAAGAAAGAUUUUGGUGAAACAUGGAUGUAAGGUUUUGUAACGUGUUUUGUUUCCAAACAAUGUAUCGUCAUCAUCAUCAUCACCAUCAUCAUUAUCGUCAUGACGAUCAUUGCACCAUCAUGAGAGUCAAGAUCGUUUCAUGAACACUAUAUCACACUUAUAUUACCAUGAUCACCAACACUUUAAACUUAUAACUAGUAUAUUGCGAAUGAACCAGAAACAUCAACUCUAUUCCUAGAACGGUUUGGAUGGUCGUAUUUUCCCAAUCAAUUUAACUGAUGAUCCAAACAAAACUGACUAUGACUGCAUUAUUUUCGUGAGUGAAAAUCUGGACUUUACAGACCCUCAACUACAGUUCUUGAAAGCACCACUCCAAGAAAGAAAGACG